GUAGAGUACUCGGCUUUUA
rnacentral:tRNA from 11 species